rnacentral:rRNA from 1 species
GCCAGCACCAUAUUUCCCUGCAGUUCUUGUCUGGUUUCACACUGAAGCUAAGAAGGGUUGAGCUUGGCCAGUACCUGGAUGGGAGACCUCCAGGGGACAACUAAGGUUGCUGCUGGAA